rnacentral:misc_RNA from 1 species
AUGCAAGUUGCGCUCGAGGCCAUUAGGUUGAGAGCACGUCUGUUUGGGCGUCAUGCCUUGCGUCAUUCUAACCAUCCACCUACUGUAAACAUACUGUGAGUGAUGGCGGAUGAGGAGAUUGACCCUCCGUGCCUUAAUUGUGCAGUUGGUUUAAGUGAAUGUUGUCGUUAGGUCUACGCGCGGCGAAUGGGGUAUCGAGCUAAUACACGAUGUCUCUACCUGCGUACAGGAGUCCUACGAACGAUGUAACAAUAACUGAAUCCAUUUUCGACGUUUGCCUUAGUUGCAAGCUCGGCACAGGACCUCAGAUCAGGUGGGACAACCCGCUGAGUUUAA